rnacentral:tRNA from 1 species
GGCUGGGUGGCAGAGUGGCGAUGCGACGGACUGCAAAUCCGUUCUACGUCGGUUCGAUUCCGGCCCCAGCCU